CCCGGAUUUUAUAACAACAACAAAAGCGGCGAUUUUAUUAUUUUUCACUGAGGCCGCAUGCUAGUUACAAAAUGAAACUACGCCAAUAUCUUCCAAAUAAAAUUCAAGAACUCUCUAUCGAAUAUUAUUCUGUAACUUGCAUGCGGCCAAAUCCAAUUUGGUUGAAAUCAUGGUGAAAUUUCCGGAUAUGAACGCAUUCCG
rnacentral:lncRNA from 1 species